AUGUUAGAAAAUUAAAUAAUGUAUGAAGACUGAAAUUGUUUUACUUUUUAUUUUAGGCUAUAGCCCAAUUAAAAAAAAUUAUACAACUCAGUGAAUGGUAUUGACUUAAUAGUAGGUCUUUUAUUGGAAAAGCACAGCGAGGGUGCAAUUGUAGGUCCGACGACACAGUGUUUAAUUAUUACUGACGGUUUUUAUCAAUACAAAGCUGGUGAUCGUUUUUUCUACGAUGUACAAGGACAACCCGGUAGCUUCACCUAUGAUCAACUGAAAGUGAUUAAGGAAAUUACUCUCGCCCAUGUCGUCUGUGCUACUUCAAACGUAGACCAUGUA